UGAUGAACCCAGCCGUUAGCAGGAAGGCGGCACAACAACGUCAGCGGCGCACCUACAGAGUGAGAAGAGAUAUUUUCGCUGAGUACGACGAUGCUGAGUUACUGAAAAGAUUCAGAUUGGACCGUGCUGGUAUUGUUGCAGUGACUGAUAUAGUGAGAGACAAGCUGCAAAGUAAAACUGAAAGAAAUAGAGCCUUGACCCCUGAGAUGGUGGCCAUCACAUUACGAUAUUUAGCCACAGGAAAAAUGCAACAGUGCAGUUGUGAUGAUUUUGGAACAACGCAGCCCACUAUCAGCCGUGCAAUAUCACAGACAAUUGAUGCACUGGCUGACCCAGAAGUAAUCUGCCAGUUCGGGGCUUUCCCUCACACCCAGCGUGAAGUGCAGCAAAAACAGGCAGAGUUCAUGCAAGUAACUCAGUUUCCCGGUGUUGUGGGAGUGAUUGAUGGCACUCAUAUAAGAAUUGUGUCUCCUCAUGUCGAUGAACAUGUAUAUGUGAACAGGAAACGCUAUCACAGCAUAAAUGUGCAAGUAGUAUUUGAUGCUCACUAUAAGAUUCUUGACAUUGUGGCAAGGUGGCCUGGCUCAGUCAACGAUGCAAGAAUACUAGAUAAGUCAGCACUCAAACUGAUGUUUGAGGAACAACAUGUACCUGCAGGAUGCUACCUUCCCGGGGACAGUGGCUAUCCCUGUAAGCAGUGGCUCCUCACUCCUUACCUUCGCCCUCAAACUGUUGCACAAGCUAAUUAUAACAGUUCCAGUACCUUACGAUGCAGCCGAGGGGACUGACGCCACCACCACCACUGCCACCACCGCCACAACAAGGGUUAUUCGAGUGGGGAACAUGCUUCAGGUGUUGCCCCAAGAUGCCUCAGCCCCGCAGCCCCACUUCCCCAUGAUAGUGCAGGCAGGGAAUGUCAUACAGGUUGUUCCAGCUGACAACACGCAGGUAUUAGGGGCAGAAGUCGUUGGAGUUGGUCGGGUCAUGCAAGUGGUCGGAGUCCCAGGCUUUCCCCCGACCCCAGCCCCAGACCCCUGCCCCAGCCACCCCUCUCCCUGUGACCCCUGCCCAGUCAUCCCUCACCCCCUCCUGCCCCCAUGCGGUGCUGCCAGCGGGGGUGAUGGGAGGUGGAGGUGGGCCACACACACCUGGGUUAGCUGUGGCUUGGCUUAUCUCCCUCCUCAGCAGCAAAUCCCGAGGAUCAACGAGGACAUGGUGGACCCAGAGAUUGCAGCAGCAGCAAGAGAGAGAGAGAGAAGCAAGAGAGGAGGGAGAGGAAGGAGAGGAGGAGGAGAGAGAGGGAGGCCAGGAGGGAGGCACGUCAGAGAGAGAGGGAGAGGAAGAGGUUGAUUCUGUUACAACAACAACUGCAACAACAACAACAGUUAGUCAGUGAGGAGGGGGAGGGGCCGUCCUCUGAUGCUGAGGAUGAGGUAUUGUUCAGGGAGGCCAUGUCGGAGGUGCCGGUGGUGGGGUCGCCAGUUCCGGAGUACGAGGUGGAGGAGGAAAAGGAAGAGGAGGACGAGGAGGAGGCACGGAUAAGGAAGAAGAAAAGAUUAUUAGCUGUAGCCCUCCCUCCAGCUGAUAAGGGGAUAAGCCAUAGUAAGCCACAGCUUACUAUGUUCAACAGGUGCGUGUGUGUGUGUGUGUGUGUGUGUGUGUGUGUGUGUGUGUGUGUGUGUGUGUGUGUGUGUGUGUGUGUGUGUGUGUGUGUGUGUGUGUGUUUUGUGUGGUCAUUUCACUAUCUAUCUAUCUGUUUAGUUUGUCUCCAUCUGUCUGUCUUUCUGUCAUUGGUCUGUCUGUCUGUCUGUGUAUUGCAAUGAUUUUUCAGUUAUGUAUUUUAUUUUUUAUUCUUGUGUACUUGUGUCUGUCUGUAUGUAUGUAUGUAUCAGUCAGUGAGUCAGUCAGUCAGUCACUCAGUUAGUCAGUUAGUCAGUCAUUCAGUCAGUCAGUUAGUCAGUCAUUCAGUCAGUUAGUGAGUUAGUCAGUUAGUCAGUCUGUCAGUCACUCACACAGUGUUAAUCCUCCUCCUCCUCCUCCUCCUCCUCCUCCUCCUCCUCCUCCUCCUCCUCCUCCUCCUCGUCCACCUCCUCCUCCUCCUCCUCCUCCUCCUCCUCCUCCUCCUCCUCCUCCUCCUCCUCCUCCUCCUCCUCCUCCUCCUCCUCCUGUUCCCCACCACCCCUGCCGAGAGGUGAGUGUAUGUACGUGUGUGUGUGUGUGUGUGUAGUAAUAAUAGUAAUGCUAUGUACAUAUAUAAAUACUGUUAAUAUUAUUGAUAAAAAAUAUUGAUGAUGAUGAUGAUGAUGAUUCAGUGGUGAUUAUGAAAAUGUGCAUUACAAUAUAGGGUAGAUAUUAUUGUUAUUACCUGUGUGUGUGUGUGUGUGUGUGUGUGUGUGUGUGUGUGUGUGUGUGUGUUUGUGUGUGUGUGUGUGUGUGUGUAUGUAUGUGUGUGUGUGAGGAAUAAUUGAAUAAUUGAAUAAUUGAUGCUCUCUCCUUUGCUAUUCAUUAUAUACAUGGACAGAUGCCUGAAGGAAGUGUGUGUAAGGGAGGAUAAAGAGAUCAUGCUGGCCUAUGCAGACGAUGUCGCUGUCGUGACAGGAAGCCAACAAGAUCUUCAAGAGGCCAUGACAAGAUGGAAUGAUGUUUUAAAUAGGGAAGGAAUGAGAAUGAACAAACAAAAAACUUAUUUACUAGUGGACAAGCAACAAGUGAUGGUGUGGCUCUGAGCCACUGUAGUAGGGAUGUUAUGGUUUAAGUGUAGGAAGUUGCAAAUGCUCACCUAACAAUUGCACCUUAGUAGAAAAACACAAACAGGAAGUUUAUGCAAGUUUUGAUCCUUAUAUAAAAUGUUGUAUUGCAUCAAACCUCCAUACAUUACUGUCUCUAUCCAGUAUGAGACCGGUGUUCAGGAAGCACAAGCAUGUGCUGAAUAACAAGAAGCCGGCAUUGGUGAAGGUGACAACAUUUCAUCUAUUUAUACAUACUUUUUAUUAUUAAAGCUUAUCUUAUAAUUAUUUCUGAAGAGAUUGACUAAUUUUUGUAGUAUUUAUGACUUAGAACUAUGAUAAAGCUAUGAAUUGAUAUAAUUCCUGAUUUGUUUUAUCUUUUCAUUAUCCUUCCUUUGUUAAUUGAGCAUUUUAUAUUACUUAGCUUAAAAAUGCAAGAACGGUUCAGAAGUAUCCAACCUUGGGCUAAGGGCCAAAAUUAUGGUAUCAUUCAAAAUGUCCUUCAAAGAAAGCCCUCUGUAAUCCAACACACUUAGCCCAUUAAUCCUUCCAUUUCUCAUCAAUUUGUUCAACAUUUCAUAUUUUUCCCUUAUAGGGUUGAACAAUUUUCAUGGGUUCAGAGCAAAAGGCUUCCUCAUUCCUCCCCAAGGUAUUCUCGGAUGGUAAGCAGGUUUGACUCUGGAGCAAACCUGACCAAGGGCUACUGCCCAAGGCUACAGAGGUUCCUCUCCCUGAGGCUGAAUGCACCAUGUGAGAUGGUUCUGUUAUGUGGAUGAAUGUCAUGGUGGAUAGCAGUGCCACCACAUUCCUACAAUCAUCCAUCACUCCACUGCUCAAAUGCUUCUGCAACCAAUGAUAGGUAUGCUGCCACAUUCUGCAUGGUCUCCUUGGCUCUCAGAUAAGGAUACUGUCAACAGGUUUGGGAUUGCCAAAAAAUCAUAAGGAGCUAUGUCUGAAAAGUCCAGAGAGAGAGAGAGAGAGAAAGAAUGAGCAAGAGAAAGAGUAGGAUGAAGCAAAGGAAGAGUCAAGAUGGAGGAAGAGAGAGUAGGACAAGAAAAAACAACAAAUAAAUCCCCUACACGUCUUGUCUCCAUUCACACAAGCCAUGAAAAGCUUGUCCAUCCCUGAGUGCUCAGAAGCAGUGUUCCACUGAUGAUGUGGAAACUUGAGACACCCAAUCAUUUAAUGGGCUUUAGUAGGUUUUGUCACCAGUCUUCUGUGUGUCACUGAC